UGAAGGAUGGCAGUUCAUAGCCAUGAUAGCAGUGACUGCUGGGGAAUUAUUACCGCAAACAGAAAAAAAGGGAAAAGCUGGUAUGAAUAUGAAACCAAUCAAGAUAAAUUGUCUGUUGUUUCUUGUACGGACUCUUUUCAGAAGAAAUAUAGAUUUUUAUGAAGUUUUUUGUAAUAAUUGAUUUUGCCACCAUUUUGGUUGCUAAGCGUAUCUAGGAAAAACGUCA